CCCCGAAUUCCGCCAGAGAGGGGCCGGGAGGAGCCUCCGGCUCGGCUCGGCCGAGGAGGGAGGGAGGAAAGGAGGAGAAGGAGGAGGAGGAGGAGGAGGAGGAGGGAGCUGCCACGUCCUCUGCGCCGAGCGGCGCCAGCCCCGCGCCUCACUCAGCCCCACGUGUGGCGGAGCGGGGGAAGUUGCGGCGGGGAGCCCGGACUCUGCCCCUCGCUGGCCGCCUGUCCCUGCUCUCAGGAGGGCGCAGCUCCGACCCUGGAGGUGGUCGAGGAGUUCCUAGAGAAUGGGAGGCAGCCUCAGGGGGAUGCUACAGCAGUGUGACAGCACUUGGAGUGGAAAGAAGACUCUCAGCUUCUGUUUGAGGAGACAAGGCAAGUUUCCAGCUCUCCUGCAGAGUGAGAACGCUGGCCACUGAGCUUGGAAAUGUUUGCACAAGGCUGGAGUACACCGAGGCCAUCGCUUUCUCAUCACCCUUCUGAGAGCAGCUUGAUCGGAGAGAUUUUAAAUAGGCAGCGAUAACUAGGUUAUUAAUUACAGCCCUCCCGAUGCUAUAUUAUCUCCUUCCCCUCCUUGUCCGAGUUUGGCCUUCCCAGUGGGCGAGCAGGGUGAUUCCUGGCCCAUGAAGCCCACGUGUGGCUGAUGAGAGGCCUGGAAGUGGAUGAGGACGGCCGUGGCCCUUACUCUGCACCACACGGGCUGCAAACUUUCAUUUUAUGCAGCUGAACAGUUUGUAAGCACUGCAGGAACACCCCUGCAUGUACCCGUACAGCGUCCUGGACCUUUCCUGUGGGCAAGUGUUAACUCCUGCAGAAACCACGCGGGCUCCUAGAGGCAGCAGGAGCCUGGCAGCAGCUCGCAGAGCCUGGCGGCCUCCUUUCUGCGGUUCAGGUAGGAUGAACCCCGAGGCUCAUCUGGCUAAAAUCUCUAGGCUGGUUUCUCUGCAAGGCCACCUCUGCUGGUAGCAAAGCCAAAUAGCCCGGUCUGCUGGCAGCGUGUUUGAAGAUGGGUGCCAGAUUGCCAAACUGGAGAGCACCAGCUUGCAGCUCAAGUGGCGCUGACAUUUGCAGGGAGGCUUCGUGUUCCAAGCCAUCAGAUGCUAGCUGGGUUCCAAUGCUGCAGCUGGCAGAAGAAAGACUUUCUAAGACUUUCUAAGGCUUGAACUUUGUCUCCUCUUUGGAGAAGCAUCCCAGCCAGCCAAAUUUCCCUUUUAUGCUUUAUCAACACUGAAAGGAACCGCUUGACUCGGAGGCCAAGUUGAAUUUAUGGAGUUUAAGAUCGGAAGAAGCUGGCAAGGCGUGCACAUGGGAUGCAGAAGGAGCGACCCCAGGUGCCCAUGGGUCCUUCAUGCUGGACUUGUUCCUCUGGAUGGCACCCAGGGAGGAGCUCAGACAGACAGACAGACAGACAGAUCUGUUGGUUUGCUGGCGGGUUCCCAAUGCCAUGGGACAGUUCUGCCAGCCUGGUUGCUUCCGUGGCUUUGGGUUGGCGGAGCUGUCCCGCAUCGUACCUGAACUGAGGAAACAUCCCACCAACCGACUGGGUGAGAUUCACAACAGGCAGCUGGCUGCGAGGAGAAGGGAUGGGUGAAAGGACGAAAGCCCUUCUGCAGCGGCACCUCGCUGAUAGGUAGUCAUAAGACAACUUGUAACGUUGACCAGAGAUGAUACAUCAAGAAGUCGUGGCUGUGGUGAGCUGCGAGCACGUUGCAGCUUUGCUUGUUGCUCUCAUCACCUGCAGCAGCACGCUAACAUCAGCCUUGUGCUGUGAUAGAAAAGAGAGGAAGGAAAGAGGCAGUUGCAGUCACCCACUAAUUUCGUCAGAUGUUUAAUUCCCGUUUCUCGUACAGCCAGCCAGUUGAAGGAGACAGAAGAUUUCAGCCCCCUGCUUCGAGAGACCUUGGCCCGUCUUCUGCAGCUCAACUCCCCUCACUCCUCCGCUUUGGCAACCGAAAGAUCCUCAGAGGAAAAUGAGG